AUUGAACGCUGGCGGCAGGCCUAACACAUGCAAGUCGAGCGAGCGGAGGACGGGUGAGUCAUGUAUGGGGAUCGGCCCGCUGGGGGGGGUAAACUUCUGGAAACGGUGGCUAUUACCGCAUAAUAUCGGUUGAAGCCGUAUGUGAUUAGCUAGUAGGUGGGGUAAAGGUUAACCUGGGCGACGAUCUCUAGCUGGUCUGAGAGGAUGAUGCGCCACACUGUGACUGAGAAACGGCCCAGACUCCUACGGGAGGAAGCAGUGGGGAAUAUUGCACAAUGGGCGCAAGCCUGAUGCAGCAAUGCCGCGUGUAUGAAGAAGGCCUUAGGGUUGUAAGGUACUUUCAGCGGGGAGGCGUUACCCGCAGAAGAAGCACCGGCUAACUCCGUGCCAGCAGCCGCGGUAAUAC
rnacentral:rRNA from 1 species